UAAGGAAUAUUGCUCAAUGGGAGAAAUCCUGAAGCAGCAACGCCGCGUGGAGGAUGAAGGGUCUAUGACUUGUAAACUCCUGUAAAGAAGGAAAAAAUUCCCAUUUGAUGGGAGAUGAUGGUACUUCUGGAGUAAGCCCCGGCUAACUACGUGCCAGCAGCCGCGGUAAUACGUAGGGGGCAAGCGUUGUCCGGAUUUACUGGGUGUAAAGGGUGCUCAGGCGGAUUUGUAAGUCAGAGGUGAAAUCUUACAGCUUAACUGUGAAACUGCCUUUGAUACUGCAAGCCUAGAGUAUGGAAGAGAUAGAUGGAAUAUCUGGUGUUGCAGUGAAAUGCGUAGAUAUCAGAUAGAACACCAAUGGCGAAGGCAGUCACUUGGUCCAUUACUGACGCUAAAGCACGAAAGCGUGGGUAGCAAACA
rnacentral:rRNA from 1 species